rnacentral:rRNA from 1 species
CGCGUAGGCGGAUGUUUAAGUCAGAGGUGAAAGCCCAGGGCUCAACCUUGGAACUGCCUUUGAUACUGGACAUCUUGAGUAUGGGAGAGGUGAGUGGAACUCCGAGUGUAGAGGUGAAAUUCGUAGAUAUUCGGAAGAACACCAGUGGCGAAGGCGACUCACUGGCCCAUUACUGACGCUGAGGCGCGAAAGCGUGGGGAGCAAACAGGAUUAGAUACCCUGGUAGUCCACGCCGUAAACGAUGAGUGCUAGUUGUCGGCAUGCAUGCAUGUCGGUGACGCAGCUAACGCAUUAAGCACUCCGCCUGGGGAGUACGGUCGCAAGAUUAAA